UACAGAGACCUCAAACGUUAUCCGGAUUCAUUGGGCGUAAAGGGUCCGCAGGUGGUUUGGCACGUUGGUGGUUAAAUUCCAGCGCUUAACGUUGGAACUGCCAUCAAAACCGCCAGACUAGAGAGUGGGAGAGGCAAGCGGAACUGCCGGUGUAGUCGUAAUAAGCGCUGAUAUCGGCAGGAACACCAAAGGCAAAGGCAGCUUGCUAGAACACUUCUGACACUCAGGGACGAAAGCGUGGGGAGCGAAUAGG
rnacentral:rRNA from 1 species